rnacentral:ncRNA from 1 species
UUUUUGGAGAGUUUGAUCCUGGCUCAGAGUGAACGCUGGCGGCGUGGAUUAGGCAUGCAAGUCGUGCGAUAUUUUUGGUGAAAAGGUUGAAGCCGUAAGGUAGAAGUCAAUUCGCCUUAAAUAUAGCGGCAAACGGGUGAGUAAUACGUGGGUAAUCUACCUUAAAGUCGAGGAUAGCCUUGCGAAAGUAGGGGUAAUACUUGAUGUAAUUCUGAUGGUUCAGUCUGUCAGAAAAAAAGCACCUUGACGCAAGUCAGGGGGCGCUUUAGGAUGAGCCCACGCCCUAUCAGCUAGUUGGUGAGGUAACGGCCCACCAAGGCUUUUGACGGGUAGCUGGUCUGAGAGGAUGGUCAGCCACACGGGGACUGAGAUACUGCCCCGACUCCUACGGGAGGCUGCAGUCGAGGAUAUUUAGCAAUGGGCGAAAGCCUGACUAUGCGACGCCGCGUGAGGGAUGAAGGUUCUCGGAUUGUAAACCUCUUUCGACGGGGAAGAAACCCCACCAUUAAUACUGGUGGAUUGACGGUACCCGUAUAAGAAGCCACGGCCAACUCCGUGCCAGCAGCCGCGGUAAUACGGAGGUGGCAAGCGUUACUCGGAUUUAUUGGGUGUAAAGGGCAGGUAGGUGGUUUUGUAAGUCGGGAGUGAAAUCCCUCGGCUCAACCGAGGAACUGCUUUCGAAACUGCAAGACUUGAGACUAGAAGAGGAAAGUGGAAUUCCCGGUGUAAGGGUGAAAUCUGUAGAUAUCGGGAGGAACACCAGUAGCGAAGGCGACUUUCUGGGCUAGUUCUGACACUGAGCUGCGAAAGCUAGGGGAGCAAACAGGAUUAGAUACCCUGGUAGUCCUAGCCGUAAACGAUGAGCACUAGGUGUCGGUUCGUAUAGGACCGGUGCCGUAAAAUAACUUGUUAAGUGCUCCACCUGAGGACUACGGCCGCAAGGUUAAAACUCAAAGGAAUUGACGGGGGUCCGCACAAGCGGUGGAACAUGUGG